rnacentral:rRNA from 1 species
CCUGGUUGAUCCUGCCAGUAGUCAUAUGCUUGUCUCAAAGAUUAAGCCAUGCAUGUGUAAGUACAGGCCGACUUAAGGCGAAACCGCGGACGGCUCAUUAAAUCAGAUAUAACUCAUUGGAUCUCUGCUGAACCGCAUUACUUGGAUAACUGUGGUAAUUCUAGAGCUAAUACAUGCCUUUGUAGUCUCCGACCGCGAGGGAGGAGCGCUUUUAUUAGACCAAAACCCUCGGCAGCCGGUUCCCGCAAGGGGCCGGCCGCACACAUCUUGGUGAAUCAGAAUAACUUUUGCCGAGCGCACGACCCCUCCCGUAACCCGGGUUGGGUCGGCGCCGCGUCCUGCAGGCGUCUGCCUUAUCAGCUCUCGAUUGUAGGUUAAACGCCUACAAUGGCUAUCACGGGUAACGGGGAAUCAGGGUUCGAUUCCGGAGAGGGAGCCUGAGAAACGGCUACCACAUCUAAGGAAGGCAGCAGGCGCGCAAAUUACCCACUCCCGAGCAGAGGGAACGCGUGAGCGCACGAUAUAAAAAUACUAACGAUUUUGCGUAAUGCCCAGACGGUGCGAUGGCAAUUAUAGUGACACAUUUGAGUAACUUUAAAGGGCACUUGUGAGAGAUUCGAGUGGAGGCGAGAGUGAUGCUGCGUGCCUAGCGCGGGCGCGGAUAUUAUGUCACGCGUGGGCAACUGACGACGAUGAACCUAUAAAUGGAUGUGGUGCAGAUCUGGAGAGCUGCGGUUAUUUGCGUGUGCAUGGCUCAGGAACGCGCGCGGUGGCGCGCUUUCAGGGGCCGUGGCAAUCUGACUGGUAAUGGAGGACAAACUGGUCGUGCACGCACGACGCGCCAGCAUGGGAUUUUCUUCCUCAUUCCGCAUUCAGGAGUCCGCCUUAGCGGCGGCUACUGCCGGGUUCCGAGCUGUGUCCCCGCCGGCGCACAUGGGGUUUUUAUGCCCUUAACCGGGUGUCCCCUUGUGGCCGGCACGUUUACUUUGAAAAAAAUUAGAGUGCUCAGAGCAGGCUGGUUUUUGCUUACAGCCCGAAUGGUCGUGCAUGGAAUGAUGGAACAGGACCUCGGUUCUAUUUUGUCGGUUUUUCGGAACCCGAGGUAAUGAUUAAUAGAAGCAGACGGGGGCAUUCGUACUGCGACGCUAGAGGUGAAAUUCUUAGACCGUCGCAUGACGACCUACUGCGAAAGCAUCUGCCAAGGAUGUUUUCAUUGAUCAAGAACGAAAGUUAGAGGUUCGAAGGCGAUCAGAUACCGCCCUAGUUCUAACCUUAAACGAUGCUGACUAGCGAUCCGCCGCAGUUAUUCCCAUGACCCGGCGGGUAGCUUCCGGGAAACCAAAGUCUUUGAGUUCCGGGGGAAGUAUGGUUGCAAAGCUGAAACUUAAAGGAAUUGACGGAAGGGCACCACCAGGAGUGGAGCCUGCGGCUCAAUUUGACUCAACACGGGGAAACUCACCAGGCCAGGACACCGGAAGGAUUGACAGAAUGAAGGCUCUUUCUCGAUUCGGUGGGUGGUGGUGCAUGGCCGUUCUUAGUUGGUGGAGUGAUCUGUCUGGUUAAUUCCGAUAACGAACGAGACUCUAGCCUGCUAAAUAGUCGACGGAUCUCAACCCCGUUGCCCCCGUUGUCGUUCGCGGCGAUGCGGGGCGCGGGUUCCCCGAAACCCGGUCGUCGUGCGGGCCUCCACCGUCGGUCGGUUAGCGCCGCCGGCGGCGCGCCCCGCGGCGCCGGAAACUGGCGUCCGCUUCGCAGUCUUCUUCUUAGAGGGAUAAGCGGCAGCAAAAAAUAUACUAGCCGCACGAGAGUUUGAGCCAUAACAGGUCUGUGAUGCCCUUAGAUGUUCUGGGCCGCACGCGCGCUACAAUGGAGAGUUCAGCGAGCUGUCCCUGCUCCGAGAGGAGCGGGUAACCUCGUGAAAGCUGUCCUUAAAGGGGAUUGGGGCUUGCAAAUGUUCCCCAUGAACGAGGAAUUCCCAGUAGGCGCAAUUCACCAGAUUGCGCCGAUUUAGUCCCUGCCCUUUGUACACACCGCCCGUCGCUACUACCGAUUGAAUGGUCUAGUGAGACAUUUAGAGGAAGUAAAAGUCGUAACAUGAGUCCAGGAAUCCGCCUGCAUGUAAGACGGAGCAAGGAAUGUCUCUCAAUGGCGGACACAAUUUCAGACGAAGACGUCUCAAAGUGAUAAAUAGGGUUUCACUGUAGUGA